GAAAAAUAAUUUGGUAAUAAUAUGAUGAAGAAGAUCUAUCUCAUCGUUCACAUCUUCAUCUUCUAAUUUAGAAGAAGAUUUUAUCUCUGACUUGUUUUACGUUGUGAACUGUAACAGCUUAAAAUUCAGAGGGUUGGUAACAAACGACAAAACUCGUAUUGUACAUGGGAAGCCUUGUAAACGUUCACCUAAAACCACGAAUACGUACAAGAACAUAUGAUAAUUCAUAACCAAGGCUAAAAAGAACUCUUGAUUAAUCAUCCUGUAUUCAAGGACGAUAAAAGUAGAAAGGACACGAGAUAAAUGGAGAACACGACGAAAUCCGGGAUUUACAAUUUAAAAAAACAACAACAACAACGACAAAAUAUCUACAGAGAAUUUUUCACCGAAUAAUUUAAAUCAGAAGGACAAGAUUUUUUAAGUGAAAGUUAAAAAGAUCAAGGUAAAGUUACAUACACGCGCUAACCAAGGUCACAUGAUAGUAGUUCUAUAUCAAAAGUUAAUGCGUUUAAAAUGGCGCCAUACACCACGCACAAGUGUGUCUGCUUGCUCGUGCACUGAACUAAAUACAUAUUUACGUUGAAGAAAAUAUUUCUUAAGCUAUACACACACAUACAUAUAUAUAUAUACAUAAACGUUUUCAAAGGUGAUCAAAGGAAAAACACGUUUAUUCGCCUCGUAUUAUAUAAAAUAAAUUAAAAAAAUAAAAUAAAAUAAAACUCAACAAAAACUCUUUCAUUAUCGAGCGUAAAAUCGUAUCGAUAAUAAGAUGAUUGUGAUAUUGAAAUAAAAAUUAAAGA